UACGUAGGGUGCAAGCGUUGUCCGGAAUUAUUGGGCGUAAAGAGCUCGUAGGCGGUCUGUCGCGUCGGAUGUGAAAAUCCAGGGCUCAACCCUGGACCUGCAUUCGAUACGGGCAGACUAGAGUUCGGCAGGGGAGACUGGAAUUCCUGGUGUAGCGGUGAAAUGCGCAGAUAUCAGGAGGAACACCGGUGGCGAAGGCGGAUCUCUGGGCCUUACCUGACGCUGAGGCGCGAAAGCUAGGGGAGCAAACAGG
rnacentral:rRNA from 1 species